AACGAACGCUGGCGGCAUGCCUAACACAUGCAAGUCGAACGAAGCCUUCGGGCUUAGUGGCGCACGGGUGCGUAACGCGUGGGAAUCUGCCCUUGGGUGCGGAAUAACAGUUAGAAAUGACUGCUAAUACCGCAUAAUGACUUCGGUCCAAAGAUUUAUCGCUCAAGGAUGAGCCCGCGUCGGAUUAGCUAGUUGGUGAGGUAAAAGCUCACCAAGGCGACGAUCCGUAGCUGGUCUGAGAGGAUGAUCAGCCACACUGGGACUGAGACACGGCCCAGACUCCUACGGGAGGCAGCAGUGGGGAAUAUUGGACAAUGGGCGAAAGCCUGAUCCAGCAAUGCCGCGUGAGUGAUGAAGGCCUUAGGGUUGUAAAGCUCUUUUACCCGGGAUGAUAAUGACAGUACCGGGAGAAUAAGCCCCGGCUAACUCCGUGCCAGCCGCCGCGGUAAGAC
rnacentral:rRNA from 1 species